CAACGUUCCAACUAACCAACCAUCUAACUAAACAAUACCUACCAACCAACCAAUCAACUAACUAGUUAACCAAAUAACCAAACAAUAGCAACACACUCCCUCAAACCUUCAAAAACAGAAGGUAGACAGGCAGGGAGACAUCUAUGCUUUGAAAGUGCCUAUGCCCACAGUUUACAGUUUAUAUUUACAAUACUUUAUUUUCCCAUUUCAUCGCUAAGAUACCAGAACAGCGAACUUUCUCAUUGGAGUAAUGGAAGGAAUUCUUUACUCUGGGAAUUAAUCAUUUUAACCUAAAACAACUCAUUGAGAUUGAACACUGAACUGUUGAGUUAGCCAUUAAGCACUAGUCACUCCCAAGAUGGAACCCUUGGUCUCAAGACCCUUGCCGAACAUAACUACAUUCCAUGCUCCUCGUUCUUUUUUUUUUUUAAGAUUUUAUUUAUUUAUUAUGUAUACAACAUUCUGCUUCCAUGUAUAUCUGCACACCAGAAGAGGGCACCAGAUCUCAUAAUGGAUAGUUGUGAGCCACCACGUGGUUACUGGGAAUUGAACUCAGGACCUCUGGAAGAGCAGUCAGUGCUCUUAACCUCUGUGCCAUCUCUCCAGCCCCAUGCUCCUCAUUCUUACCCAGUCCUGACCAACUUUCCUCCAAGAGACUACCAAGACAGGUAAAACUGUGCAACUUCCAAUGGAUUGACAAUAUCACCUGGCUGCAGGCCCAUGGUGUAGAUGAACAAUCACGGGCCGUGUUGAAGAAUACACCCAGAACCGUAUCUCCUGACCUCUGUAUGGCUGGCAGGACAGCUCCUGGUUCAUCACAUAGAACUAACUGCCAGAGGACAUGGCAAUCAGGCAGCACCAUCAGAGAGAAGUCUUUUGGAUUCAAGAAAGUGGUCCCUCCACUUUUACCAAGCAUCCACGCAGGCUGGACCUAUACUGCUGGAAUCUCCACUUCUACUGAGCAUCCAUGAGGGCUGAACCUGUACUGCUGGAAUCUCCACUUCUACUAAGCAUCCAUGAGGACUGGUCUUAUACUCUUGGGAUUCAUGCUUUUUCAUGGCUGGUGACUUUGUAUGAGAGGUGCUGUGUGUGCUGGGAGGUAAGAUUCUCUUGUCAAGUUUGGGGAAGGCAAGAGAACCAGAUAUAGAUCCACUAACAUAACUGCACCUUGUAUACCUGCACAGCAAGUCAGAUGUCUAAUACAGUUUGGCACCUCCAGAGCAUCAGCUAUGGGAAGCUUGUGCAAGAGUCUCCUCUCUGGUCUUAUAAGAAGCAUUUUGGUCUUUUGUGGAUGAACAAGUAAGAGCAUAAGAACCCCAGGGCAAUUUCCCAUCACAUAUCUAGAGCUCAAGUUUCCUAAUCAUGUCAUUCUGAUCCAAUGUAAUUAUCUUUGCAGUGCCAAGUAUCAGUGUUUAUUCCCAAAGAAACCUAGAAUCCUAGGUACCAUAUGGGUAUGCUAAAUUUCCUGCUUGAUAGGAAUGUUGUUAUAUCUGGGUACUUUCUAGUGAAAUGGUGUCUUAGUUAGGGUUUCAAUUGCUGUGAAGAGACACCAUGACCACAGCAACUCUUAUAAAGGAAAACAUUUAAUGGGAUGGCUUAAAGUUUCAGAGGUUUAGUCCAUUUUCAUCAUGGCAGGACAUGGCACCGCAUGCAGGCAGACAUGGUGCUGGAGAAGGAGCUGAGAGUUAAUACAUCUUGAUUUGCAGGCAACAGGAAGUAAACUGAACUAGGUAUAGCUUGAGUGUAGGAGACCUCAAAGCCUGCCCCACAGUGACACACUUCCUCCAGAAAGGCCACACCUCCUAAUAGUGUCACUCCCUCUGAGCUUAUGGGAGCCAGUUAUAUUCAAACUACCACAGAUGGGGUUUUGUUUUGGGUCAGGCUAGACUAGACAUUCAGGACCGCCUGUCUGUCCACACAUUUCUGGUAGCUUAAGGACUCUAAUGAUUUGCUUUGGGGGGAAAUAGGCUGUCUUUGGUUUUGUGUUAGCUCUGUAAGAGAAUUCCAGGGAUGCUCCAAAUCACCUGAAACAUUCUUAUCCUUUGAAACAUUCUAGAAUGUUCAAUUUGGAUAAGAGGAUGUAGAGCUUAAUUGAAGCAAAGGUGACAUUUCUUGGGUGGCUGCAGGCUAGACCAGUUUUUCUUAUCUGUACCAUUCUCAUUUUUGCGGUCUCCUGAGACUUCCUUGAGGUUCAAAUGUGUGCUCCAAUGGACUAUGUAGUCCCUGGACAUAGCAAAAGAUGAUGAUCACUUGGCAGCAGUAGUUAUCGGAUAAAAUUAUCACCUUCUACUUUCUACCAGUUUAUGUAUGGUACACAGGAGGUUGUUAUUCAGGUCAAUAUUCCACACUGUCUGAAGUAAGACUUCAUUCUUGCUUUAUACACCACAUUAGGAACAAUAUAUGCACACUUACAUGUAGCUGUAGGGACCUCAAGAAACCUUGGUGGAAAUCAUACCAUUCACGUUUAUUAAACAAAUCACGUUUUAUUGUUUUCUUCUUUUAUAUUUACUGAAUGCAGUCCCAACUUAUUUUCAGAAGUCAUCCCAGAUACAAUCUUGUGUAGCACAGCAGUUGCAGCAACCUGGACUUUUAGCACAAUAAACCAAACCUUAUCAUAUUUGAGACA
rnacentral:lncRNA from 1 species